GUCCACGCCGUAAACGAUGAGUGNUAAGUGUUAGAGGGUUUCCGCCCUUUAGUGCUGCAGCUAACGCAUUAAGCACUCCGCCUGGGGAGUACGGCCGCAAGGCUGAAACUCAAAGGAAUUGACGGGGGCCCGCACAAGCGGUGGAGCAUGUGGUUUAAUUCGAAGCAACGCGAAGAACCUUACCAGGUCUUGACAUCCUCUGACAACCCUAGAGAUAGGGCUUUCCCCUUCGGGGGACAGAGUGACAGGUGGUGCAUGGUUGUCGUCAGCUCGUGUCGUGAGAUGUUGGGUUAAGUCCCGCAACGAGCGCAACCCUUGAUCUUAGUUGCCAGCAUUCAGUUGGGCACUCUAAGGUGACUGCCGGUGACAANCCCGGAGGAAGGUGGGGAUUGACGUCAAAUCAUCAUGCCCC
rnacentral:rRNA from 1 species